AUCGUUUAAUUCAGCGUAGACAAAAACUUAACGCAAAUAACCACGGAUAUGGUCAAUUUUUUGUUACCACAAUCCCUGUCAUCUUUCCCUCCAUCACGACAUUACUUACAGAAUGAGCAUUAUCUAGUAUUUUACAUUGUCGUUUGUUUUUUGUUGCACCUCAGUGUUCUAUUGUUUGGUGUUUUCCUCUUAUAGAUUAAGUGUUUCCCUCGAUUUUAGUAUAUAACCUGCAUUUGUUACAGUGGUAUACUACUGUUGCCUUUAUCUAGUACAUUCAAUUUGUUGCUGUUAAUGCUAUUAAUCCUCGACACACAAGUAAGUUUCAUCUUCUGAACAUUUUUAUUUCUAGUGUCACAAAAUCAUUGUAUCAACUUCAUCAAAUGUCAAAAGAAUUUAGUUCUGUGUUUUCUAAAGUUAAAAUGUCAUGUCUGUAUUUAAGGCAACAUGUACAUCUUAUUCCUAAUUUCAACAGUAUAAUUGGGCAAGUGAAAAUAGUUGAGAUCCAGAAAAAAAGACUAUUAGCACGUUAUUGCAAAAAAGAAGAACCACUUAAAAUAAUAUUUUUCAUGAGUAUUCGUUACACAUCUUAAACAUCAAUUUAGAUGUCAUUUGUUUUUUUUAAAUACUUGUGCGUGUUAACAUUAAAUUCCAAUGAUGUAUUGCUUUCUUUGUCAGUUACAUAAUGUUGUUGUUGUGGUUCCUCUGUUUUGUUGCCAUGUCAGCUGGUAAACUUAUAGAUACCGAGAAAUACAAACAGUUGUUAUUAGAUGAACAUUCUGCAUACAGAAGAAAACAGGGAGCUUCUAACAUGAACCAUUAAUAAUUGGAGAACACA
rnacentral:lncRNA from 1 species